GAUGAACGCUAGCGGGAGGCCUAACACAUGCAAGCCGAGCGGUAUUUGUCUUUCGGGACAGAGAGAGCGGUGUACGGGUGCGGAACACGUGUGCAACCUGCCUUUAUCUGGGGGAUAGCCUUUCGAAAGGAAGAUUAAUACCCCAUAAUAUAAUGAAUGGCAUCAUUUAUUAUUGAAAACUCCGGUGGAUAGAGAUGGGCACGCGCAAGAUUAGAUAGUUGGUGGGGUAACGGCUCACCAAGUCGAUGAUCUUUAGGGGGCCUGAGAGGGUGAUCCCCUACACUGGUACUGAGACACGGACCAGACUCCGACGGGAGGCAGCAGUGAGGAAUAUUGGACAAUGGGUUAGCGCCUGAUCCAGCCAUCCCGCGUGAAGGACGACGGCCCUAUGGGUUGUAAACUUCUUUUGUACAGGGAUAAACCUACUCUCGUGAGAGUAGCUGAAGGUACUGUACGAAUAAGCACCGGCUAACUCCGUGCCAGCCGCCGCCGUAA
rnacentral:rRNA from 1 species